GCAGCAGGCGCGAAACCUUUACACUGCACGUCAGUGCGAUAAGGGGAUCCCAAGUGCGCAGGCAUAGAGCCUGCGCUUUUCUGAACCGUAGGGAGGUUCAGGAACAAGUGCUGGGCAAGACCGGUGCCAGCCGCCGCGGUAAUACCGGCAGCACGAGUGAUGGCCGAUAUUAUUGGGCCUAAAGCGUCCGUAGCUGGCCUGUCAAGUCCGUCGGGAAAUCUACCAGCCCAACUGGUAGGCGUCCGGCAGAAACUGGCAGGCUUGGGACCGGAAGGCUCGAGGGGUACGUCCGGGGUAGGAGUGAAAUCCCGUAAUCCUGGACGGACCGCCGAUGGCGAAAGCACCUCGAGAAGACGGAUCCGACAGUGAGGGACGAAAGCUAGGGUCUCGAACCGGAUUAGAUACCCGGGUAGUCCUAGCCGUAAACGAUGCCUGUUAGGUGUGGCUCCCACUACGAGUGGGUGCUGUGCCGUAGGGAAGCCGCUAAACAGGCCGCCUGGGAAGUACGUCCGCAAGGAUGGAACUUAAAGGAAUUGGCGGGGGAGCACUACAACCGGAGGAGCCUGCGGUUUAAUUGGAUUCAACGCCGG
rnacentral:rRNA from 1 species